GACGAACGCUGGCGGCGUGCCUAACACAUGCAAGUCGAGCGGAGAAUGCGGACAUGUUUACAUGGAAGUGUUCUUAGCGGCGGACGGGUGAGUAACACGUGGGUAACCUGCCUCAAAGUGGGGGAUAGCCUUCCGAAAGGAAGAUUAAUACCGCAUAAGCCUACAGUACCGCAUGGUACAGCAGGAAAAGGAGCAAUCCGCUUUGAGAUGGACCCGCGGCGCAUUAGCUAGUUGGUGAGGUAACGGCUCACCAAGGCGACGAUGCGUAGCCGACCUGAGAGGGUGAUCGGCCACAUUGGAACUGAGACACGGUCCAGACUCCUACGGGAGGCAGCAGUGGGGAAUAUUGCACAAUGGGCGAAAGCCUGAUGCAGCAACGCCGCGUGAGUGAUGAAGG
rnacentral:rRNA from 1 species